GAUGAUGUCAGGUAGCACUUCUCAGAUCUAUUGGAAAAAUAUUCCAGGUUUGGCACAAAGUUUCUUUAGACUGCCUGAAAGUCUGGCAACAGAUUGUAGCACGGCUUUGAAUUUUACCUGCACCACUUUAAUUAUAUCAAUACGACUUUCUUCUAAUGAUUUCUAAUGGCCUUAAUAAGCAACAUGCAGAAGAAGGCUGCAUCUGAUACGGUGUUUAGUAUUCAGCAAAGAGAUAUAGGAAGGUGAAAUCUUUAAAUGUGGACAUGCCUUAUUGUAGACUGUGUUGAGGAUGAUGUCGUACCUAUGUAUUAACUGUAGAGGUUUUCUAUAUUUAGAGGAGACCCACAUCCGGCAAUCGUGUACUGUACAUAUCUACACCAGUUAGUUCAUUUUGCUUCCAUUUCUUCCCUCUGUGUUAUUAAUUGUAUUCAAGGGUACAUAGGGUCUCUUCAGCAUAGCUUUAAAAAUAAUAGUUUAUCAUAAUUUUAAUUGUAGCUCUGAAAUUUAGCUUAUUUCAACAAUUCUAUAGAUAGAACUCCUUU